AGGUGCCCGACUCAAGUCCUUCCUGCUAUCUUCAUGCGGAGCUAGUGCAUUUCUAGUUCGCUGUAACGCAGCGUAUUCGUGCGUGGAUUCGGGCGAGAAUUUGAAUAACGCUCUCCUGGCCACUUAUUUUUUAUUCGAUACCUGGAGCGUUUCAGCAGAGUGCCCACACUGCAUGCGGUGCAGUACCCUCGAAGGUUCGCUCGAUACGAAGCCGCUGGAUGCUCCAGAAACACAACACUUUUUCCGGAUGCUGGGCGAGACCUUCAAUUCUUGGUGCGCAAAGUGCUUGCGCGAUUAUGGCUCGUAGACUCAUGCCAUGGUAAGUCGCUUACUGUUCAAUGCCUUGCCAUCUGAGGUCCGGUCAGCUUCGCGUGAGGAAUCUUUUGCAUGCGGCGCUGUUUGGCGGUCUUCUUCUUUACCAUUUUGAAUCGUGGGACUGUGCUCGUGAUUCGUAUAUGUCGUCCUGAACGCGUCAAUGAGCAUCGUACAGAAUCAAGUCCUGCACUUGUUGUACGCUUUCGUCGAAGGACCAGGAGCGCAGGGGCCUUUGCUUGCUCGUCACCGCAUCCAUCGCGAGCACGCCUACGGGCCGAUGCGCGUCUUCCCGUUUCGUCCUGUGCACGAUCAUAGAAGCAGCGCGGGCGUCCAAGGUCGGUGAAGGUAGAGAGCGACCUGUCCGAGUAUGGUAUCAAGAGGCGGACGAAUCAUCUAUAGAUCGAUGAAUGUGAAAAUGGCGUUUCGUGUCCAUAAAGAUUUAUAGGACUGUGUUGAACAAGCGCUAAUAGGCUGGCAUGAAGAGCAGCUGAACGCCAAUCUAAGCUGCAUACUCCUCGACCGAUUGGAGUGAUGGAAACCGACAUUGCCCGAGACCCGGACAGGAGAAUGUUCGCAAGAUAAACA